rnacentral:tRNA from 1 species
GGGGGUGUAGCUCAGUGGUAGAGCACUUUCCUAGCAAGCAUGACAUCCUAGGUUCCAUCCCCA